rnacentral:sRNA from 1 species
GGAUGUGAGAGUGAUCUGACUGCAACAUCUGUCACCCAAUUAAUUGACAGGGUUUAUUUGGCUGUUCUAACUGGCUAGGAGGAUGCCCCCAUCCUCGCUUACUGCUCCAUGUGUGUACUUUCUGAAGUUGUGCACUACUAGAUUGAAAAGAAUGACCUUUCCUCAACAGAGGAGGGCCAAUCUUUGGUCAAAGGUAUAUUAGUAGCUACACUCCACUUCUAGAACCUCCAAACAAACUCAAAGAUCACCUUGAACUUCUGAUGUUCCUGCUUCCGUGCCACGACUUCUGGAGUUAUAAGCAUGCACCAUCACACCCAGUGAUGGAGAU